GGGGGGGGCGAUGGAGUCACGUGCGUGGCGGAACCGGGGGUCACGUGACCCCGGCCAGGUGUCCCCGCGUGUUUCCACGUGACCCCGGCCAGCAGUUCCCCACGUGUCACGUGACCCCCCGCCGUGACCUUCCCCGGGAGUCCCACGGGUGUCCCGUGACCCCCGUGACCUCCCCCAGGUCCCCUCCAGGUGUGACACGGCGGGGCCACGUGACUGACAGGUGUCCCUGAAGUGUCCCAGGUGUGCCCGGCUGUGUCCAGGUGUGCCCGGCUGUGUCCAGCUGUGCCCAGCUGUGCCCAGGUGUGGUCUCCAGGUGUGCCCGGCUGUCUCCAGGUCCCUCCCGGUGUCUCCAGGUGUCUCCAGGUGCCCCCAUGGCCGCUGCUCGCCUGGGCCGGCCCCUGCCGGGCUCCUCGGUGCUGUUCUUGUGCGACCUCCAGGAGCGGGUUCCGGGGCUCCAUCGCCGCCUUCCCUCAGAUCGUGGCCGUGGCCGCGCGGAUGCUCCAGGUGGGCACACCAAAAACAGCCCAAAAAUACCCCAAAUGCACCCAGACAAACACCGAAAUCCACCCCAAAACAAACCCCAAACACUCGCAGAAUCCUUCCCGAAACCCUCCCCAAAAUGCCCCGAAAACCCUCCUUAAACACCCACAACCUCCUCUCCUAAAAACCCAAAAUCCUCCCCAAAACACCCCUCAAGAAUACCCCAAACA